rnacentral:rRNA from 1 species
UACCUAUAAGACUGGGAGUAACUUACUGGAAACCGGAGCUAAUACCGGAUAAUAUAUUGAACCGCAUGGUUCAAUAGUGAAAGACGGUUUUGCUGUCACUUAUAGAUGGAUCCGCGCCGCAUUAGCUAGUUGGUAAGGUAACGGCUUACCAAGGCAACGAUGCGUAGCCGACCUGAGAGGGUGAUCGGCCACACUGGAACUGAGACACGGUCCAG